CUCUCGGCUGGCCUGGGAACGCCUCGGGAUCCCCCCAGAAGAGCUGGAAGAGGUGUCUGGGGAGAGGGAGGUCUGGGCAUCCCUGCUUGGACUGUUGCCCCCGCAACCCAGCCUUGGAUAAGCAGAAGAAAAUGGAUGGAUGGAUGGAGAUACAAUUGAUU